rnacentral:rRNA from 1 species
CAAUAGCAUAUAUUAACGUUGUUGCAGUUGAAAAGCUCGUAGUUGAACUUUUGGUAGGAGCGACCUGGCCUUGGGCGCAUGCCCUUGUUUGCCGUGUGUCGUAUCUGGCCAUCCUUUUCUUCGUUUUUCGGAGGAAUCUUUUACUGUGAGUAAACUGGAGUGCUCAAAACAAGACGUUUGUUUGGUACAUUAAAGCAUGGAAUAAUAAGAUAGGACCUGGUUACUAUUUUGUUGGCUUGCAUAGCUAGGUAAUGAUUAACAGGGACAGUUGGGGGUAUUCGUAUUUAAUUGUCAGAGGUGAAAUUCUUGGAUUUAUGAAAGACGAACGACUGCGAAAGCAUUUACCAAGGAUGUUUUCAUUAA